UUUCCGUAGGUGACCUGCGGAAGGAUCAUUG
rnacentral:rRNA from 4 species